GAUGAACGCUGGCGGCGUGCCUAAUACAUGCAAGUCGAGCGAACAGACGAGGAGCUUGCUCCUCUGACGUUAGCGGCGGACGGGUGAGUAACACGUGGAUAACCUACCUAUAAGACUGGGAUAACUUCGGGAAACCGGCGCUAAUACCGGAUAAUAUAUUGAACCGCAUGGUUCAAUAGUGAAAGACGGUUUUGCUGUCACUUAUAGAUGGAUCCGCGCCGCAUUAGCUAGUUGGUAAGGUAACGGCUUACCAAGGCAACGAUGCGUAGCCGACCUGAGAGGGUGAUCGGCCACACUGGAACGGAGACACGGUCCAGACUCCUACGGGAGGCAGCAGUAGGGAAUCUGCCGCAAUGGGCGAAAGCCUGACGGAGCAACGCCGCGUGAGUGAUGAAGGUCUUCGGAUCGUAAAACUCUGUUAUUAGGGAAGAACAAAUGUGUAAGUAACUAUGCACGUCUUGACGGUACCUAAUCAGAAAGCCACGGCUAACUACGUG
rnacentral:rRNA from 1 species